AGAAGGAUGACGCAGUGGUUAACGUACCUGCCUAGUAAGCAGGAGGUCCCGGGUUCGAAUCCCGGGCGAUACCCAUUUUUUUU